AACAAAAACAUGUCUUUUUGAUAAUAAUUUAAAGUCUAGCCUGCCCAAUGAUUAUUAAUUGAAUGGCCGCGGUAUUUUGACCGUGCUAAGGUAGCAUAAUAAUUAGUUUUUUAAUUGAGAACUGGUAUGAAUGGUUGGACAAAGAAAAUUCUGUCUCAGGUUUAAUUUAAUUAGAAUUUUAUUUUUAAGUAAAAAAGCUUAAAUAAUUUUAAAAGACGAGAAGACCCUAUAGAGUUUUAUAUUAUUUAUUAUAAAUAAUUUAAGGAAUCUUAUGUUUUAUAUAAUAAAUAGUAUUUUGUUGGGGUGACAGAAAAAUUUAAUUAACUUUUUUUAUAUAAAAUCAUUAAUUUAUGAUUAAAUGAUCCAUAAUUUAUGAUUAUAAGAUUAAAUUACCUUAGGGAUAACAGCCGUAAUUUUUUUUGAGAGUUCAUAUCGAAAAAAAAGG
rnacentral:rRNA from 1 species